rnacentral:lncRNA from 1 species
GAAAGGCAGGUGGACGAUUGUAGCGCCUCGGAUCACCAUGUGAGGAGGAAUCCGAGCAUGAAGGUACAGAAGCCCUCUCGUUGAUUGACCACCAAAUACAAGCGCCAUUCCUGUUAAGCUUAUUUGUUUGCAUGUAGACGGUGUGGUGGCCAUAUAGAACUGUGUUAUCCACUACAAACUUCAAAAUAGACCCGAUUCCUCGGCAGCCAAUUGAGAUCACAUCGGAGAUGCACAACGAUUCAUCUCCCUCUCUCAGAGUAGUAGCAGGCAUCAAAUUGUCCUUUCCCGAUACAACCCUAACUCCAACCAGCGUUCUUUCUGAAAAAUAUCAACCAUGCACCACAACUGUCGAGAAGCUUCAACAACCAUCUUAGGUCUAUGAACCCCAAAGUUAUCAUCGGAAGUGGAUUGGCAACAUCAGAGAGUAAUCAGUGUUUGCUGCCGUCGCCUGAGCUUGACCCAAAAUCUACAAUACCCAAGCGUCUCGGUUAUUUCUGCUCAUCGUGCACGUAUGACGAAAAAAUAAAAAUACUCUAAAUGCUUAGGACUUCUACAAAAUCAGAAGAGCAUGAUGACACUGCACCGUUAUGUUCACAGCUUCCCUAAACAAUGUGGCCAUUUCCGUCAAUCAACCUUGGCAUACUGCAAAAAUUCAGUGGACUAGCGGAGAUCAUUGUGGAAUGAAGUGCAAUUACUGAGUUCAACAGAAAUAUUGCUGCGCAGAAAUCAACGUCUAUCACAUACCCACCUAAGAGGUCGUCCACUUGCGAUUGCAGAACGUAAUGCAAGUUCCCUUUCCACAAUGAAAUCCAAUGUUGUUAACACACAGAGCCGAAACCUGAUGGAAGCCACUUAAACCGGGAUUUUACUUCUCCAUCAAGUCGAACAUGUGAAAGUUUGUGAUGAGUCAACUUUACUCCACCAUUUGCAAAGAGGCAUCUAGCGCGAACAAUGCUCCGCAACCAUGCAAACUUAGUCAGAAAUUAGUUUCGUAAUUUGCCAGCUCCAAUCCUACAAAUCGCCACAGAGAAACACAGCUGGGACUAAUAAUUAUGCGGGCAAAUGUAAGCGUCCAUCCCCAGUCUAAAAGGACGCUCCCCUGCUUCAAAUUAAAAUUUUCGCGGCGACCAACGAAAUAGUCCUAGACUUCAAAUAUAAUUCAGUGCGCUUUUGCCAGCGACCAAGACUCAUGCCACAAUGCUAGUAGCUCUCCAGAGGAGACAGCGCCGAAAACUCCGCCACAGUAUCUACGCACAUGGAGUCGCCUUGUCUUGCAGAAGUUGUUCCAGGUGUAGUCGAGAGUAUCUCCACGCAACAACUUGAGGUAGCAUUCCACGUACACUGAGUGACUCCUCAAGACCUUCGGACCUUGAACUAAGGACCCUACAUACAGGUUUUCUCGUUUUUUCAAACAGACAGCGUAUUUUCGAAACAUCAAAACGAAAUUAGUUCAAAUAACUUCGUAGUGCCUGAGUAUUUGGACGCCCGACGAGUCAUGGUCACCAUCCCCAUCUGAGGUCACAAAAAAUCAUGUCACACACAUGAAACUUGUACAAUCAACAGCCCAAACCUCCUCCAUGCAAGCAUCCAACAAACACCACACAAAUUCGCAAGCUAGGAACUAAAAUUAGAAAAAAAUCGCAGUCUGCUGGUCAGCUUUUGAGGAGAAUUCCUGCAAAAGGUCGCAUGCACCCUGUUUAGUGCGUUGCGACUUCCAGGAACUGUAAUUCCGCACAAAUAUCUUUCUUGGCAGGGGGAGAAAAAGGCAGGCCCAAAUCAUAAUAAUAAUAAUAAUAAUAAUAACAACAACAAACAAGAAGGGAAGUUGGUGGCGAGGAAAAUUGGAGACAGGGGGGGAAUAUCAAAGGACGUGUGUACUGUAGCAGACGGGGGGCUUUUGCAUAUGAAUGGUGGGCAAUCAUUGCGCAGAGCCUAGAAGAUGCGAGCAGCACGGGCCUCGAGAGUUAGAAUAGGGCCUCAUAGAGUACGUGAGGAGGACGAGGACGAGGGAGGAGCCGCAAAUGACAAGCCACCCCCCCCCCUUUUGGGACCAGGGAAAGAAAGAAAGAGAAAAAAAAGGAUCCGGGGGGGGGGGGGGGGCAGGCAGGGCUCUCAUCCCCAGAUGAUGGCUCUGGCAUUCAUUCAUUUAUUCGUUCAUGCAAUAUUUGCCAUCGCUUCUUCGCCGCAAUCUUCUUCUACACUCCUCCUCCACCGUAAUAGUAACUUGGUUGUUGUUGUCGUUGCUGCUUCAUCUGCUGCUGCUGCUGAUUCUGCUACUACGUCGCCCCCCUUCUUCUCCUUGUCCUUGUACUUUGAGAGCUCUCAAUCCCUGCCCGCACUUUAUGUUUUUUUUGUUUGCCCCUUCCUUACCUUUGGCGCAGCAAUGAAAAGCGUGGGGCUCGCAAAGCUGAGGCCCAAACUCAUUGUGCGCCUGGCAGGCAGCAGUAAUAAAGCUUUCCUUCCGUUGCUGAGCCUCCCUCCCCACUUCCCUCCACUCCCUCCCUUUCUCUUCUCUCUACUCUACUCCUUCCUUUUCCCUUCUCUUCCCUUCCCGUCCACUCAUUGUUAUUAUUAUUAUUAUUAUUAUUAUAAAUAUGCACUCAUCACUCAGUUGCUUCUGGUCUUCUUCCCUCCAAUUCAGCCUCCUUUUUCAAACACAACACAUACUCCACCAUGGCAUACCCCCCCCCCACCCUACCCUACAUGUCAGAAAGGAAAUAAACAACAGCCGGCAGCAGCUGCAACAAUAUAUGGCUGGCUGGUUUGGCUGAGUGCCUUUGGAAUAAAGAAUUAUGUAUAAUGUAAUGUAUAUGAAUGUGUGUGUGUAUUCCACUGUGGAACAGUUGGUUAGUUCAUGCUUGACUGAGAGAGAGAGAGAGAGAGCUGGACAUUAUGGUCAAGGACCAUGCACUCACCCCCCCC